CAUCUUUCGGGGAUUCUUCUACUCUAUUACGAGUGGUUCCAAUUCGACAAAGAAUUUGUGGAGUACAGGAACUUCGAUGAAUGUCUUGCUUACAUCGAAGAGUGCAUCAUCAAGCACGGACCUAUCGAUGGUCUCAUGGGUUUCUCUCAGGGAGCAAUUCUCUCCGCUGCGUUGCCGGGUUUGCAGGCGAAGGUGCCAGCUCUGAACAAGGAGGAAG